AUUGAACGCUGGCGGCAGGCUUAACACAUGUAAGUCGAACGAGUGGCGGACGGGUGAGUAAUGCUUGGGAAUCUAGCUUAUGGAGGGGGAUAACUACGGGAAACUGUAGCUAAUACCGCAUACCAUCGGAUGAGCCCAAGUGGGAUUAGCUAGUUGGUGGGGUAAUGGCCAACCAAGCCGACGAUCCCUAGCUGGUCUGAGAGGAUGACCAGCCACACGGGAACUGAGACACGGCCCAGACUCAUACGGGAGGCAGCAGUGGGGAAUAUUGCGCAAUGGGGGCAACCUGACGCAGCCAUGCCGCGUGAAUGAAGAAGGCCUUCGGGUUGUAAAGUUCUUUCGGUGACGAGGCGUUAAUCACAGAAGAAGCACCGGCUAACUCCGUGCCAGCAGCCGCGGUAAUAC
rnacentral:rRNA from 1 species